rnacentral:rRNA from 1 species
UCGCUCUUCAACGAGGAAUCCCUAGUAAGCACAAGUCACCAGCUUGUGCUGAUUACGUCCCUGCCCUUUGUACACACCGCCCGUCGCUACUACCGAUUGAAUGGCUUAGUGAGGCCCUCGGAUCGACUUUCUGAGACUGGCAACAGUCUUUGAUUGUUGAGAAGUUGGUCAAACUUGGUCAUUUAGAGGAAGUAAAAGUCGUAACAAGGUUUCCGUAGGUGAACCUGCGGAAGGAUCAUUACUGAUUUAGCGAACCGAGCAUUAGCGAGGUUUUGCGAUCACUUGUAUUUAAAACCCAACUCAUAAAAUAUGUAUAUUUUUGAAAAAUAAAUUAAAGAUCACUUUCAACAACGGAUCUCUUGGCUCUCGCAUCGAUGAAGAACGCAGCGAAAUGCGAUAAGUAGUGUGAAUUGCAGAACUUUGUGAACCAUCGAAUCUUUGAACGCAUAUUGCGCCUUUUUCGGAAGGCAUGUCUGUUUGAGGGCACCAUUUGACAAAUAAUGUGCGCGUUGCGUGUAGAAAGCGCAGCGCGCACACGUCGAUGAGCUUUCCAAAAAUACCGUAGGUUUUUUGGUAGCGCGUAAUGAACAGCGUGGGCUUUUUCAUCAAUUCUCGUGUAGUAAAAUAAAUUUGACGGCGCCUGGGUUGUGAAAAAGAGCGAGCCGCGCACUGGGUGUGGCAAAUUUUAUUCCCUGCCCCAAAGCCACUCUUUCCCCUGCGAAAGAUUUUUGUAUUCAGGGCCUCAAAUCAGACAAGAGUACCCGCCGAACUUAAGCAUAUCAAUAAGCGGAGGAAAAGAAACUAACAAGGAUUCCCCUAGUAACGGCGAGUGAAGCGGGAACAGCUCAAAUUUUAAAUCUGGCCUGCUGUGUUGCGGCCCGAGUUGUAGUUUGAAGGAGUCUGUCGCCGGUGUGACUAUGGCACAAGUCCUCUGGAACGGGGCAUCGUAGAGGGUGAGAAUCCCGUCUCUGGUCGUGGUCGCUAGGCAUCCGGCAGGCAUCCGAAGAGUCGAGUUGUUUGGGAUUGCAGCUCCAAAAGGGUGGUAAACUCCAUCUAAGGCUAAAUAUUGACGAGAGACCGAUAGCGAACAAGUACCGUGAGGGAAAGAUGAAAAGAACUUUGAAAAGAGAGUAAAACAGUACGUGAAAUUGUUGAAAGGGAAACGCUUGAAGUCAGUCGUGCCGGCGUCGGGUUCAGCUCACUUUUUGGAGUGGGCGUAUUUUCGCGCAUGGCAGGUCAGCGUCAGUUUUGCGCGGCGUGAAAGGGCUCGGGUAAGGUAGCUCACUUCGGAGAGUGUUAUAGACCUGAGCAGAUGCGCUGGGCGAGACUGAGGAUUGCAGCGGACACCCCUCGGGGCGCGGCGACCGAUCCCUGCUCCAGCCACCCGCGUUCGAUAGCAUGCUAACGGGCGUCGGGAGCGGCGGUGCACAGGACAGGCAAGCCGGCGGUUCGCUAAGGACGCUGACGUAAUGGCUUUAAACGACCCGUCUUGAAACACGGACCAAGGAGUCUAACAUAUGUGCGAGUGUUU